GAUGAACGCUAGCGGCAGGCCUAACACAUGCAAGUCGAACGGUAACAGGGAAAAGCUUGCUUUUCCGCUGACGAGUGGCGCACGGGUGCGCAACGCGUAUAGAACCUACCCUGUACAGGGGGAUAGCCCGGAGAAAUCCGGAUUAAUACCCCGUGGUAAUUAGAAUUGGCAUCGAUUUUAAUUUAAAGCUUCGGCGGUACGGGAUGGCUAUGCGUCCUAUUAGCUAGAUGGUAAGGUAACGGCUUACCAUGGCUAUGAUAGGUAGGGGCCCUGAGAGGGGGAUCCCCCACACUGGUACUGAGACACGGACCAGACUCCUACGGGAGGCAGCAGUGAGGAAUAUUGGACAAUGGGCUCACGCCUGAUCCAGCCAUGCCGCGUGCAGGAAGACAGCCCUAUGGGUUGUAAACUGCUUUUAUACGGGAAGAAUAAUCACGACGUGUCGUGAGAUGACGGUACCGUAAGAAUAAGGACCGGCUAACUCCG
rnacentral:rRNA from 1 species